CACGAUGAAUAUAUUUGAAUCUAGUUUUAAGGCCUGGAUAUACAGAUGGGCAGGAAAUGGAAUUGUACCAGGCAUUUGGAGAACUGGCAUCUGAAUGAAUUUGAGUGUCAGACUCCUGUUCUUGACAGGCUAUUAAAUAUCGAUCCAAAAGAAACAAAUGUGCAAGAUGGUCUGAUAAUAUGACUCUAUAAUCAGUUGGGGCUUUCAUAGGAAGAGGGGCAUGGAUGGGAGGAGUAUCAAGUUCUGCUCACCUAAGCCAGCCAAUAGUUACUUUCAGUUCCUUGUGCCAUAUUUUAGAGAAAAGAAUUUAAGUCCAAGUUUUAAGAAUUAAUAAACAAAAAACUCACCAGGCUAUUUCUUACAGUUAUUAAGUGUCUGCUUUGCUGAAAAAGAAUGGUAGUGCCACAGAUGGCGAGAGUGAAAUUGUCUCUAAGAAGGCAGAAAUAGACUAGGGGAUUAAAGUAAGAGACCCCUAAGAAGCAGAGUCUCUGGUAAUAUGCCCUUUG
rnacentral:lncRNA from 1 species